rnacentral:miRNA from 8 species
ACAUACUUCCUUACAACGCCAUA